UGCUAUCUGUUGUGUAGUGGUUUGGAUGCUGGACUAAUACCCUGGGGACCAGGGUUCAAAUCCCUGCUUAGCCA